UAGUGGGGGACGUGUAGGACCUCUUGGGCAGUACAAAGCCAACAUUGUUGACCACAUUUUCAGCCACAAUUCAUUUCCCCACUUCACAAAGAAUUAAGAGAGAGCACCACACGUUGCUAAUCAUCUUGGGCAAAGACAUAUAGCCUCUUUUGUUGACUAAUCCAUCAGCCACAAUUCAUUUCCCAACUCCAUAAAAUUGAACAAGAGAGAGAAGCUCUCAUCUUCACCAAAUAGAGAAAGAGAGCCACGGCUAUGGCAGCUCCACCAAGCUCACGAUCAGCCCUUUUUUUUUCAACACCAUUAAAUCACUAAUUUCAGCUUGAUUUGGAGAGAAGUUCACAACGGCCAUGGCAGAUUUUUUUUUUGGAACAACUUAAGCUUCUAAAGUGUCCUAAUUUAAUUUGAGGUUGAAGUGCCAAUCGAGACGAGUUUAAAUUAUUGAAUUGGUACGGACGACAAACGGUAUGUAAAAGCCUACCUUUCUUUCUUUUGGCAUGACCUUUAUGAAAUGAACAAAUAACGUAUAUGUAUGCGUCUAAAGAAAAUCCUAUUCUUAGGGCCACUAGGAUGGCCAAUAUCUUUGACUUCCAUAAGCUAUUCCAUAUGGCUUGAUACAUAUUUAUGAUGUUCGAAGAUUCUAGUUGUUAUGUUUCCGAGUGUUGUUCGAAAGAGAAUCGAUAUGACUAAAGUCCUUUAUGAAUA